CAGUAGCCGCGGUAAUACAGAGGGUGCAAGCGUUAAUCGGAAUUACUGGGCGUAAAGCGUGCGUAGGCGGCUUCUUAAGUCGGAUGUGAAAUCCCUGAGCUUAACUUAGGAAUUGCAUUCGAUACUGGGAAGCUAGAGUAUGGGAGAGGAUGGUAGAAUUCCAGGUGUAGCGGUGAAAUGCGUAGAGAUCUGGAGGAAUACCGAUGGCGAAGGCAGCCAUCUGGCCUAAUACUGACGCUGAGGUACGAAAGCAUGGGGAACAAACAGGAUUAGAUACCCCAGUAGUCCCUGUCUCUUAUAC
rnacentral:rRNA from 1 species